rnacentral:tRNA from 1 species
GCGCCCGUAGCUCAGUGGAUAGAGCGCUGCCCUCCGGAGGCAGAAGCCGUAGGUUCGAAUCCUACCGGGCGCG